rnacentral:rRNA from 1 species
AUUGAACGCUGGCGGCAGGCCUAACACAUGCAAGUCGAGCGAGCGGCGGACGGGUGAGUAAUGUCUGGGAAACUUCCUGCUGGAGGGGGAUAACUACUGGAAACGGUAGCUAAUACCGCAUACCCUCCUAUGUGCCCAGAUGGGAUUAGCUAGUAGGUGGGGUAAUGGCUCACCUAGGCAACGAUCCCUAGCUGGUCUGAGAGGAUGACCAGCCACACUGGAACGGAGAAACGGUCCAGACUCCUACGGGAGGCAGCAGUGGGGAAUAUUGCACAAUGGGCGCAAGCCUGAUGCAGCCAUGCCGCGUGUAUGAAGAAGGCCUUCGGGGUGUAAAGUACUUUCAGCGAGGAGGCGUUACUCGCAGAAGAAGCACCGGCUAACUCCGUGCCAGCAGCCGCGGUAAUAC